GGACUACUGGGGUUUCUAAUCCCGUUUGCUCCCCUGGCUUUCGCGCCUCAGCGUCAGAAAGGAUCCAGCACACCGCUUUCGCCACCGGAGUUCCUAUGGAUAUCAACGCAUUUCACCGCUCCACCCACAGUUCCGUGUGCCCCUAUCCUCCUCGAGACCAUCAGUAUCCGAGGCCGUUCUCCAGUUGAGCUGGAGGAUUUCACCCCGGACUUGAUAGCCCGCCUACGCGCCCUUUAAGCCCAGUGAUUCCGAACAACGUUCGCACGGUUCGUCUUACCGCGGCUGCUGGCACG
rnacentral:misc_RNA from 1 species